ACCUGAAGAAAAUACUCUUCGUUUAUAGCGUAUUGUAGCAUCCACAAGCGGAUAAGAAAGGCAUUUUUUAGUCGACUUUGUAAAACAAGCAAAGUAGGAGAAAAAUAUUUUUAGCUCGAAACAAAAACAUUUUCCCGUUUUAUCGAAAAUCCAGGGGGGUGAAAGACACCGUGAAAAGCUUAGGAUCGCGGUUUGUCAGUGGUAAAUACCAUUGCCAAAAGGAACCAGAUGGCGUAAGCAAACGUGAAAAUCCGCCAUGUUUUUGGCGACACUUUUUUGACUGACGAGAGAUAGGAGCACCUCCUCCAGUAAUAUUAUAGCUCAGUGGCAUAAACAUACUUUUAA